rnacentral:lncRNA from 1 species
GGGAAAUUAACACAGUCCAAUCAACAUGUUAAACUCAUGCACAAGAGUUUGAUAAAAACAUAUUUCUUUGGAUCCAUAUUUCUAACAUAUAAUCAGCCACAUACAGGUUCUUCUGCUAGAGUAAUUUACAUUGAUGAAAAUGGGAGUUAAACACAACAGAAAUGAAAAUGGGAGCAGAAGAUUGUAGCUGAAGAGACAACAUUCUCAUUGUCCGGGGACAAAGUUAGUAGCAAAAGCCCAUGCGUUGUUCGCGACAGGGUCAGCAACAUGGUCAUAAAGGUUCUGAAUAGGGCCCUUGCCAGUAACAAUGGCUUGAACAAAGAAACCAAACAUGGAGAACAUAGCCAGCCGACCAUUCUUGAGUUCCUUGACCUUCAACUCUGCAAAUGAAUCAGGGUCAUCAGCAAGGCCAAGAGGGUCAAAAGCACCACCAGGGUAAAGUGGGUCUAGUCCUUCGCCGAGGGGUCCUCCUCCAACUCUGUAGCCUUCAACAAAUCCCAUGAGCACAACCUGAGUAGCCCAGAUUGCAAGAAUGCUCUGAGCAUGAAUCAGGUUUGGGUUGCCCAAAUAGUCAAGGCCACCCUCCGCAAAGAUCUGGGAACCGGCUUUGAACCACACUGCCUCGCCGAAUUUAACACCAUUCUUUUCAAGGAGUUCGGGGAAGGUACAUCCCAAUGCACCAAGCAUAGCCCAUCUGCUGUGAAUUACUUCAAGCUCACGGUUCCUUGCAAAUGUUUCAGGGUCAGCUGAUAAUCCAGCUGUGUCCCAUCCAUAGUCACCAGGAAAUUCACCAGUCAGGUAGGAUGGAAUUUGUUCAGAGAAUGGACCCAAGUACUUGGGACGGUCAGGACCAUACCUGGUUUUCACAACAGAUCAUUCCAAGUCAAAUAUACAAACAAAUUAUCACAACUUUCAAAUAUCAGUCAUUACCUCUAUAGUACCGAAAAGUCUGAAAAAAUAUGUGUCUGUGUCAAUUUCAAUUUAUUAUUAUUUUUUCCGAAUUAUGUCGGGGUCGAUGUUAUGUGUCUGGUGUCCGUGCUUCAUAGGUCAUUAGCAUUUCAAUCACUGGCUUUUGGGUCUGACCCAACUAGCUAAUAAUUAGUUAUGAUGUUUGUAAGAGACAUGAUGAGUUAAAGGAAUGUUAAAAACCAGAACUUUAUGUAUUUUAACAUAUGCAAAAGCUAAAUUUUGACUGUAACUGAACUACUUACCAAAUGCUUUCAGGAGCACUCUUCACAGUACGACGCAUGGUAAAGCGAGCUUGGCCAAAGUUUCCAGCUUUCCUGAUGAAUUCAUUUCCCUGCCUCAAACCAGUCUUACCAGUGAAAGCUGAUUGUUGGAUAGCAGAGGUGGCCAUGAGGGCGUUGAGACUCCUUGCACUUUGAUGUUGUUCUCUUCGAUGCUACUAGCAAAUGUUGUUGUGAAGAGUGAAGAUAUGCUACAAAGGUUUAUAGAAGUGCAGGGAGUGGCCAGUGUGGAAAUAUUAGAUAUUGUGGAUUAGGAUAUGCACAAGUCAGCAACAUCUUAUUGGUUGUGAAUUUCUACAUGGAUUUCCAAGGUGAUAUAUUGUAUUCAUAUUGUGGCUCUCUUUGUGCCAUGUGGAUGCAGUCAUCUGGUGGCUUAGAUGUUUUUGAAGAGGAUGAAUGUGAGCCAAGGAAAUUAGGUCCACCAAAUUUGAUAGAGAAAAAUGAAAUUUGGAAGAAGUUUGUAUUAAGGGUGACAAUUAAAUCCACGAAGCUAAAGUUCAUAUGAGUCAUCUAUUAAAUUAUCUAUCAAAUCUAUUUAUUGUUCAAAAUAGUUAAUAGAUUAGGGGUCCGUUUGUUUUGGCUUUUUUUAAAAAUGAUUUUUGUAGUGUUAUAUAUUUUAGUGUAAAAAAAUUUAUCAAGAAAAUUUUCAUAAAAGCUUCAAAUGAAAAUUUUGUUUGAAUAGUUAUUCUUAAAAUGUUAUUUUAGGUAUUUUAUCAUUUUAUCGAAACUUUUUUUAGAUAUCAAAAUUUCAAAAAAUCACUUAAUUUUGAAACUAUUUCAAAUAGCUUUUUCUAAAAAUCAUUUUUGAGAUACAAUUUUUUUUAAAAUUAUAAUUUUGAAUAUGUUUUGAUCUUCAAUAAUGUAUAUUUAUGUUAUACAAUGAACAAUUCAACAUUUUAAUAUAUAAAAAAUAAAUUUAGAAAUACUUGCAAUAUUUUGAAAAAUAUUUUUGUAAAAUCCAUUUUAAAAAAUACAAAGAAAAAAUCCAUUUUUUUAAAGCACAGACCCUAGAUUUAAUACAUCCAUUUAAAAAGUUACGCUCAAUCUAUUCAACAAAUUUAAUACCAAGUUUUUAUAAUCAAUAAUAAGAAAAGAGCAUGUAAAAGUAAAAUUUUCAUUAAAAUUCGAAGAAGGAUUAUUUCCCUGAACUUUUAUGAAGAGGUAUUUUCCCCCUCAAAAUCUCCAAAAACUUUUAAGUUCGAACGUACAAGUAUAUUUCUUUCAUAGGUGUUACAAUUUUCUUCUUUUUAGUUGAUUUACAAAGAAAGAGGUGAAAAACAUUUCUUUUUAUGUUAGUCCCAUCAUACCCUUUUUUUCAAAAUUUUAAUAUUAUGCCAUUUCAUAUUAUUGAUGUUUUGUUGAGGGAUGUUUUAAAAUUCGGACAUGUGAUCUGUCAACGAGUUAUUGUUCGGGAUCGCAUGAGUUUUAAUUCAAUUUAUACAAAUUAAUAAAAAUAAUUUUAUGAAAUAAAUUUUUUAAAAUAAAUUUCAUAAUUAUAAAAUCUACAAAAGAAAAUUCUAAAUUUGCUCACCCAAUUAAUUGAAUAAUAAUCUCAAAUAAAAUUCCAACUUCUAAACCUAACAAGUUAUUGAUGGUUAUAAUUAUAAAUUUAUAAAAAUUAAAAAAGUAAUUAUAUGAUAUAAUAAUAUCAUAAAAUAAUAUAGAACAUAAAUAAAUAUCAUGUUCUAUAUAAAUAAUUAAAAAUAAAAUAUAUAAAUAUAAAAGUUAAUAAAAAUAAUAUGACUUUUUUUAAACAAAGAGGACUAAAGUCCAACAACAAACAUAACUACGCCACAACUAAAGGGGGAACCGAAGUUCCCAAUGUCUAUCUCUAGAAGUAUCAACUUACAUAUUCUCUUCCAUUGUCUAUCUGUUGUUACAUUAUGAGUAUUGUCUAAAGUAUUGUACAUGUUUGAAACUCCGACUUCUUUAUUCCCAUCAGCAAAGAUAACUUUAACAUAUGUGUCAUCAUUCUCAUUCGGAGGUAAAAUACAAGUUAUUUGAUACAUCACUUCCACCGGAAGCCAAUGAGCUAAAAUGGUGAAGCUCAAAUCACCCUCAGAGUUCAACAAAUCUGCAACUUCAGCCUGCUGCAAGACCUCCAGAAGUUGAAUAUUUAAAUCAUGCAUCUUGAACCAUGGUGUAAUUUAGUUGCUGGUCUACGCGUUCAUUGUCUUACCAUCAUCAAUUAUCCACAAACAUUACUCAAUAAUCUUCGAUAUAACUUUGAUGAUGCAUUACCAAAAGCUUGAGUUGGACGGUUUCAUUCUUCUCUAUCCACCGCACGAGAAUGAGAUGAGAUAGAUUAUCUACGCAAAGCACGAAAAUGUAAGGAGAAAAUGGAUCUCCCUGACGAAAGAAAUUUGAUGUUAUCUAACUUCAUUCCACCUAAUAUUUAUUUUCUCACUUGUAACCACAUGCAUAAUAAAAUUAGAAAAUAAUAUGAAUUUUGCUUAAAACUAAUAAUAACACUUAUACUAAAAAUAUUGUGAAAAUUUAAUUCACUAUUCCUUUGGUAAUAUGAUUUUUUCUAAAUAAUGAGAUUUAUACUUAAAAUAAUAUAAAAAUAUAAUUUUAUUUUUCUUUAGUAAUAUGAUAUUUUUUCAAAUCUUUUAUUAAUUUAUAAAAUUAUUAUACUAUAGAAUAAAUUUUCUAACUUUUAUAAUUUAUAAUAUUAUUAUAUUCCAUGAUUAAUAAUACAUAACUUUUAUAAUAUUAUAGAAUAUAUAAGUCUCUUUUCGUUUUCGUUAACCAAAUUAAACAUCAAAAGAGAUUCCCGAUGUAGUUUGUAAUUUUAAUAUUAUUUAAUUAUUAUAAAUAAUUAACAUAAGAAGAAUAAUUUUUCGGAUCAAGAAAUCCACUAAUUCAUUGGUCUAACCGAUGAACCACAUGAAUCUCACCAUUUUCUGUCGGGUCAAUUGCAACUAUUGUCAUAUCAUUUUACCAAAUAGUUUUACUCUCUGGUUCACAGUUUAACCAGGUUGAUCGACUGAUCCAAUCCGAAUUUUAAAAACAUUGUUGGUGAGUCAGUUUCUUCGGGAAAAAAUGAUCAUGACAAGCUUUUUAAAAAUGGUGGAUCAUAGUGGUGCAUUUGUUAGAAUUUACUAUAAAAAUUUAUCAUGUCAAACUUAUUUUAGGUGAUGUAAACGAGAAGCUACCAUAAAAAAUUGUUAAGGGAUCCGAGGAUCAUCACACCGGGCUUUAGGAGCAAGUGAGAGGGACACCACAUAUUAGCCCAAAAUCUUAAGACAUUAGGUAUGUGGGUCUUCUCACUUAUAAAGUGUUCAACAUUCACUUUUCAUCUUAUGUGAGACUCAUACUCACACUUGAUAUACCAACAAUCUUCCCCUCAAAUGUGAGUUCUUCCAUUCUUAUGGUCAUUGCUCCCUCUCAAAUAAAAUAAUUUUUCAUUCAUGUCUGCUGGCACUAUCAUUGGAUGGACCCAACGAAACACGUCGCCUGGACACCCUUGUAAGGAAGAUUUUUUAAACAAGGAGCCCUAGUUGAACUAGGCUAUGAUACAUUGUUGGCUAAUGAGGGGGUCCAACGGAACACACCGUCUGGACACCCUUGUUAGGAAUACUUUUGAUACAAGGGAUUAUGUUGAAUGUAAUUCAACAUUCAAGUUAGUUUAGUUUUGAAUUUUAUUUGCAUUUAAGUUUCAUAUGAAUUUGAGUAAUUAUAUAAACCAAAAUGUAAUUGCAUUUGUAAUAGAUUUUUAGUUUUGUAAUUAUUGGAAUCAGAAAGUUCGUUACACAAUUCUCUCUCUUUUCUCAAUUCUCUACGAAUGUUAUUCAUCAUCUUCAUCUUCUUGUGCAAUGUUAGUGGAAGUUCAUUAUUGAACUCCAACAAUAAUGACAUUUAGAUGAAAAAGACUAACUUAAUAUAUUUUUAAAAAUUAAGAAACUCAAAUGAUUUUUUUAAAGUUAAGAAACUAAAAUGAACUCUGAAUAUAAGAUAUAGUAUGAAAAAGGAUAUUAAGUGAUAGUUUUUCUAAAAGGAGAAAUAAACUACAAGAAACACAACUAAUAAGCAUAAAUGUUUAUAAUUUUCAAAUAAGUUUAAUCGCAUAGCUAUUCAAAUUAGUCACACAUUAAAAAUAUCCACCAUCGGUAGUAACUUAUACAAUAUUGAUUUUUUAUGUCAAAAUUGCAACCUUCUUAUAAUAAUUCUAAUUAUUUAAUUUAGAGUAAUGUUACAGUCAAUUCUUACACUAAUAUUUACCUCCAAUAUUGUUUACCGUAUGUAUAUGGUGAAGUAUAUUUUUUAUUUAAUAAAGAAGAUAAAAAAAAUUAUUUAAAAAAUAUGUGGUUAAUAACAUAUAUAAUUAAUGCAAUAAUAAAAUUGAUUAAUAUCAAAAUCUUAUAUUUGUGUUUUAAAAUUAAUCUUAAAAAAAUAUUUUUUAUAAAUAGUUUUUUAUUUUAAAAAAUAUAAUAAAUAUUUUUUAUUUUAAAAAAAAAUAUUAUUCACUGUAUAAACACGAUAAACAAUAUUGGACAUAAGUAUUUGUGUAGAAAAUGGGAGUAAGAAUAGUAGUAUUUCUUUUUAAUUUAUGUAUAAGUAUGUUUUUUUUGGAAUAAAAGAAUUUUAUUAAAUCCAAAAAAUCUUACAGCAAAAAGGCGAUCCAAUGAUCCAGCCUAGGAAUUCAAAAAAAAAAACACAACACCUACUACAUAAGGAAGCAUGAAAUGGCUAAUAUUGCUUCUAAGGUUAGGCAUAGUCCAACACCUAAGAUCAAUAAUAUCAAUGAUCUUAGGACCUCUAAUAGCUGUAACACCCCAUUUUUUAUUAGAUAUUUUAUUAUAUUUUAAUUGUUUAAAUUAUAUAUUUUGAUGAUUUAUUUUAUGGUCGGGUGUUGGCGGAUUAUAUAUCCUUGAAUUAGGGGUAUAGAGAGAUAAUAGAAGUGAGUAGAAUAAUUUAGAAUUAUUUUGGUAAUUAAAAAAAAUAUUUUAUUUAUUUUUAUAUAUUGAUUAGUGAAAAUAGAAUAAUUAGGCCAAAUAUGAAAAAUUGAGAAAGUUAGUGGAAAGAGGGAAUAAGAGAUCAUUAAAUUUAGGUCAAGUUGGUGAUUUGGAAAAAUUUACCCUAAAAAUAAAAAGUUAAGAGGAACCUAGGUUUAGUGAGAUUUUCACAUUACGUGACAUUUGAGAAAGAAGAGCAAAGAGGCAAAAGGCAAUAUGAUCAAGAGAAGAGAGUGAAAGUUCCAAUUCAGAAUUUUUGUAAGGAAUUCAGGUAAGGGUGAAAAAUUGUUUCAAUAAUAAGGGUGUAUGCAUGAAGGGUAGGGUGGAAGAGUCCUUAACCUCCAAUAGGAUGUUUGAGAUUUUACUAAAUUCUGAAUUUUUAUGAUAUCUUGAUGUUAUAUGUUGUGAUUAUUGGUGAUUAUUGGUGAUUUUCGUGCGUGGCUGUAUUUUCUGUUUUGAGUGUUGGGAUAAUUUCACAAUUGUUGAGAGUUUCGAAGGUUUAUGAAAAUAAUAAAGUUAUAAAUUAUAUGAUUUAAUUGAUGCCAAUAUGUGAUAAAUCUUAAAUUUGAUGUAUUAGUCAUUGGAUAAGUGUUGGGUUUCAAAUUCUAAGAUCAAGACUUUUUACGAAAUCGAAAUCGGAGGUCUGGAAGACCUCAAACGGAGAAAAAUAAGUUUCUAGGUUGUUCUUCGAACCUGUAACCGAUUACCGGUCUGAGUGUAACCGAUAACCACUUGAAAAAUAGGUUUUUGGGCUGUUUUCGAAGCCCAUAACCGGUUACGGGUUUGAGCGUAACCGGUUACUACUGUUACGUGCAAAAUUUAGAAAAUUGAAAAUGACGUAACUUGAGCUCCGUAGCUCCCUUUGACGCGCGGUUCGAAGUGUUAGAAAGCUAACAUAUAGUACUUUCUCAUGGUGAUGCUUUAAGAGGCUGAAUAUUAUGUAUUUAACAUUGAUUUAAUUGAUAAUUCAUUAUUAUUGUAGAUGUCUUGGUUGUUAUAUGGAAGUUGUUUAUGUGAAAGUUACAAUUGUCGAUUUUCUGUGUUUUGUUGGUUGUUGGCUACUAUUAGUUGUUGUAUGAUGUUGUUUUGAUGUCAGUUGCUGAUUUAUCAUGAUUUGAAUCGGUAUGAUGUAGUUAUUGGUGAAUGAUGAAUAUAUGUUAAUGAUAAAUGAUUGAUUAAACAUGAAUAAUUGUUGUGUGACAAUAAUGUUGUUAUGUCGGUGUUUCUAUAAUGAUGUUAUUAAGAUGACUGUGUUGAUGUUGUUGUGUUGGUGUUUUUAUGAUGACAAUAUGAACAUGAUGAAAUUAUGUUAAUGAUGUGGUGUUGAUGUUGGCAUACAUAGUCAAGAGUGGACCGAUGUGUAUAUAUUGAUGAUAUUGUUAUUGUUGCAUGUUAGGAGUCAUGCAUCCAUGUUGUCGGAGCUUCAGUUUUAUUUAUUUGGUGAGCCUCGAUCCUAUGAUGAUGGAUAUGGUUCGAGUAGCUAAUUCCUAUUAUGGGGGAUUAGUGAAGCGCUAUCUAUGGUGAUGGUAGUGAUUUUGGUGUGCUCCGGUUCCAAGAGGGAAUCGAUCCUAUGGUGGGGAUCAUAGAGCGAAAUGAACCUGAGUGUUCAUAUUUGGUACCACAUGCAUGUCGAGUCGGCGUUGAGUCCAUUUCAUAAGUGUUGCAUUUAUAUUGGUUGUGUAUAGUGUUGAUGAUAAUUGAUAAGUUGUUGUGUAUGAUGUUAAUGAUGAUUUGGGUGUGAGAAUUACAAUAUGUUGUUGUGAACGAUUAUGUUGACUGUAAUCUAUCUUUCAUGUUAUGUCUUUUAUAAUUGAUUAUAAUUUCUCAUCCCUUCUGUUUGAAUGUUGCCUUUACACGGACAUCGUGCAGAUACUCAGGAGUACCUUUGACUGAAGUAAGUGGAAGGAUAGUUCUUGAAGUGACUUCCAUUAGUUGUCAUUUAUUUAGUAGGAUAACUCUGAUCAUGUAACAUCGGGAUGGGAAUCGUUCGUGUUAAUUUCACUUGUUAUUGUUUGUUGGAGUUUUGAUUUUAUGUUGUUGAACGCUGAACAAUAUAACUCUCUUGUUCGUGUAAACAUCUCAGAUAAAUAUCAGAUGAGUUUGGAUGUCGUGUAAAUAUCCUAGGUGAAAUAAAGUUACAUGAUUAGUAGGUGUUGUUUGUUGUGUAUGUGUGAUAUCUUAUGUGCUAAGUUGAAAAAUAUCUGAUUUAUUUAUGAAUUAUGUAUUGGGGUAAUUAGGGUGUUACAUUAGCACCAUCAAUUUUGUUACCAAAACAAUGUUAAUUUCUAGCAUGUGACAUGUGUGUGAUUAUGUUUGUGGGAUCAGAGCAGGUCGGUUCGUCCGACCAGGUUGUCUAAUUAUGUUUGUUCCCUAGUAUGUGACAUGUGUGUGAGAACACUGCCGAUGCUUGUUUUGUUUUCCAUUUGUAGGUUGGGAAUGAAACAAGUGAGGGAGAAGAGUAUGCUUCUCUUGGAUGUUUUAACUGUAUAAAGCUUGGACAUCAUGUUGGUGCAUGCAAGAGUGCAUUGUUGGCUAGUUCAACUGUUUUGAGGAUGUUGUGCUUUUUCGUAACCUGGAGUGAGGUCGGAUUCGAGGAUGGUGACGGUUAGAAAAAUGGUGUGAUACUUGAGGGAACACAGUCAGGUGUUCUCGUUGGUCGCUUCCUUAUGAUGGGGAAUGCGAUGUUUUGGCCAGAGAUGAGCCAGUGGUGUGUUGAGUAUCCCGACGUGUUCCAUGAGGAUGUGUAUGUUUUGUAUUUUGUUGGAACAAGUUGACAUUAUUCUUUGAAUGAAUUGGUUGGAGUUAAACUAAAUGUUUACCAAUUGUUUUGAUAAGUUGGUGCAAUAUGCCACUGAAUGCAAGAGCUCAGGCGGUGUUGAAGUUGUGUUGUUCCUAACACUGAAGAUGUUGUAGAUUCGAGAUUCCUAUCUGCCGGUCAAUUUGGGAAGUCUUUAGGGAGAAUGAUUAGGUAUUAUUAAUGAUGCUUCUUGAAGAGUAGAGAGAAAUGUGACGACAAGUGUUAUGUUAGUGGUGUGUGAUUCCUGAUGUUUUCCUAAAGAUAUCUACGACUUGCCUACAGAGCAUGAAUCUGAGUUCGAUGGAGGUGAAAAGUUGACAUAUGUAUCAGUUAAGCAAGUGAGAGAGUACGUGAAGGAUAUGGCAUACGUGUUUGUGAUGUUAGCUUCAUUGGAAGCUAGAGGAAAGGUAAUAGUUCGUGAUCUUCCUGGAGUGUUUCCUGAAGACAUCAAUGAUUUGCCUCUGGAGCAUGAAGUAGAGUUUACCUUCGACUUAGUACUAGGUACGAGUUUGGUGUCAAUGGAUCCUUAUAGAAUGUCAGCUUCAGAGUUGG